rnacentral:rRNA from 1 species
AUUGAACGCUGGCGGAAUGCUUUACACAUGCAAGUCGAACGGUAACAGGUCUUCGGAUGCUGACGAGUGGCGAACGGGUGAGUAAUAUAUCGGAACGUGCCCAGUCGUGGGGGAUAACGUAGCGAAAGUUACGCUAAUACCGCAUACGAUCUAUGGAUGAAAGCGGGGGAUCGCAAGACCUCGCGCGAUUGGAGCGGCCGAUAUCAGAUUAGGUAGUUGGUGGGGUAAAGGCUCACCAAGCCAACGAUCUGUAGCUGGUCUGAGAGGACGACCAGCCACACUGGAACUGAGACACGGUCCAGACUCCUACGGGAGGCAGCAGUGGGGAAUUUUGGACAAUGGACGCAAGUCUGAUCCAACCAUUCCGCGUGCAGGACGAAGGCCUUCGGGUUGUAAACUGCUUUUGUACAGGAAGAAACGACUCUUGCGAGAGGCAUUGACGGUACUGUAUGAAUAAGCACCGGCUAACUCCGUG